GACGAACGCUGGCGGCGUGCUUAACACAUGCAAGUCGAACGGUAAGGCCCCAGCUUGCUGGGGUACACGAGUGGCGAACGGGUGAGUAACACGUGGGUGACCUGCCCCGCACUUCGGGAUAAGCCUGGGAAACUGGGUCUAAUACCGGAUAGGACCGCACCGUGAGGGUGUGGUGGAAAGUUUUUCGGUGUGGGAUGGGCCCGCGGCCUAUCAGCUUGUUGGUGGGGUAAUGGCCUACCAAGGCGGCGACGGGUAGUCGGCCUGAGAGGGUGGACGGCCACAUUGGGACUGAGACACGGCCCAGACUCCUACGGGAGGCAGCAGUGGGGAAUAUUGCACAAUGGGCGGAAGCCUGAUGCAGCGACGCCGCGUGGGGGAUGACGGCCUUCGGGUUGUAAACUCCUUUCACCAUCGACGAAGGUUUUCUGACGGUAGAUGGAGAAGAAGCACCGGCUAACUACGUG
rnacentral:rRNA from 1 species